rnacentral:rRNA from 1 species
AUUGAACGCUGGCGGAAUGCUUUACACAUGCAAGUCGAACGGCAGCACGGGGGCAACCCUGGUGGCGAGUGGCGAACGGGUGAGUAAUACAUCGGAACGUGCCCAGUCGUGGGGGAUAACGUAGCGAAAGCUACGCUAAUACCGCAUACGAACUCUGGUUGAAAGCGGGGGACUCGCAAGAGCCUCGCGCGAUUGGAGCGGCCGAUGGCAGAUUAGGUAGUUGGUGGGGAAAGGCUCACCAAGCCGACGAUCUGUAGCUGGUCUGAGAGGACGACCAGCCACACUGGGACUGAGACACGGCCCAGACUCCUACGGGAGGCAGCAGUGGGGAAUUUUGGACAAUGGGCGCAAGCCUGAUCCAGCCAUUCCGCGUGCAGGAUGAAGGCCCU